AGCGAACGCUGGCGGCAGGCCUAACACAUGCAAGUCGAACGAACCUUUCGGGGUAGUGGCGGACGGGUGAGUAACACGUGGGAACGUGCCUUUAGGUUCGGAAUAACUCAGGGAAACUUGUGCUAAUACCGAAUGUGCCCUUCGGGGGAAAGAUUUAUCGCCUUUAGAGCGGCCCGCGUCUGAUUAGCUAGUUGGUUGAGGUAAUGGCUCACCAAGGCGACGAUCAGUAGCUGGUCUGAGAGGAUGAUCAGCCACAUUGGGACUGAGACACGGCCCAAACUCCUACGGGAGGCAGCAGUGGGGAAUCUUGCGCAAUGGGCGAAAGCCUGACGCAGCCAUGCCGCGUGAAUGAUGAAGGUCUUAGGAUUGUAAAAUUCUUUCACCGGGGACGAUAAUGACGGUACCCGGAGAAGAAGCCCCGGCUAACUUCGUGCCAGCCGCCGCCGUAA
rnacentral:rRNA from 1 species